UACAUGUGGGGCAAGCGUUGUUCGGAAUUACUGGGCAUAAAGGGUGCGUAGGUGGCUUGUUAAGUCAGGGGUGAAAGUUUUCGGCCCAACCGGAAAAUGGCCUUUGAUACUGGCGAGCUCGAGUGCGUGAGGGGUAACCGGAACGAGCAGUGUAGCGGUGAAAUGCGUAGAUAUCGUUUGGAACGCCAAUGGUGAAAACAGACUGCUGGGGUUGUGCUGACGCUGAGACACGAAAGCCAGGGGAGCGAACGGG
rnacentral:rRNA from 1 species